rnacentral:rRNA from 1 species
CCUACGGUGGCAGCAGUGAGGAAUAUUGGUCAAUGGUCGGGAGACUGAACCAGCCAAGCCGCGUGAGGGAUGAAGGUACAGCGUAUCGUAAACCUCUUUUGUCAGGGAACAAAGGCGGGGACGCGUCCCCGGAUGAGUGUACCUGAAGAAAAAGCAUCGGCUAACUCAGUGCCAGCAGCCGCGGUUAUACUGAGGAUGCGAUCGUUAUCCGGAUGUAUGGGGUUUAAAGGGUGCGCAGGCGGGUUGUUAAAUCAGCGGUCAAAGCCCGAGGCUUAACCCCGGCCCGCCGUUGAAACUGGCAGUCGCGAGUUGGAGAGAAGUAUGCGGAAUGCGCGGUGUAGCGGGGAAAUGCAUAGAUAGCGCGCAGAACUCCGAUUGCGAAGGCAGCAUGCCGGCUCCACACUGACGCUGAGGCACGAAAGCGUGGGUAUCGAACAGGAUUAGAUACCCUAGUAGUC